UACGGCGGUAACAGCGAUGAAGUCACCUCUUCCCAUUCCGAACAGAGAAGUUAAGCUCAUCAGCGCCGAUGGUACUGCGCAAGCGGAAGAGCAGGUCGCCGCCACCC
rnacentral:rRNA from 1 species